UACGGGGGGGGCAAGCGUUGUUCGGAAUUACUGGGCGUAAAGGGCGCGCAGGCGGUCUUGAAAGUCAGGCGUGAAAGCCCCGGGCUUAACCUGGGAAUUGCGCUUGAUACUCUGAGACUGGAGUACGGGAGAGGAGAGUGGAAUUCCCAGUGUAGAGGUGAAAUUCGUAGAUAUUGGGAAGAACACCAGUGGCGAAGGCGGCUCUCUGGACCGUAACUGACGCUGAGGCGCGAAAGCGUGGGGAGCAAACAGG
rnacentral:rRNA from 1 species